AUUUGGUAUUGGUUUGAAGGCACCUACUUUCCAUGAGGUGCGAGUUCCCUUAUUGAAUAAAGAAGUUGCUAAUGUGAGGAGUUCAUUGAAGUCUUAUGAAGAUGAAUGGGCAAAGCAUGGUUGUUCUAUAAUGGUAGAUAGUUGGACUAAUAAGAAGCAAAGGACCUUGAUUAAUUUAUUGGUGAAUUCUUCGAAAGGAACCGUUUUCAUUGAAUCUAUUGACGCUUCAGAGUAUUCAAAGACCGAUGAAAAGAUGUUUGAGCUUCUUGAUAGAUUCGUGGAGCGUAU
rnacentral:misc_RNA from 1 species